UACAGAGGGUGCGAGCGAUAAUCGGAAUUACUGGGCGUAAAGCGCACGUAGGUGGCGACGUAAGUCGGGUGUGAAAGCCCCGGGCUCAACCUGGGAAUAGCAUUCGAGACUGCAUUGCUGGAGUACGGAAGAGGAGGGCGGAAUUCCCGGUGUAGCGGUGAAAGGCGUAGAUAUCGGGAGGAACAUCAGUGGCGAAGGCGGCCCUCUGGUCCAGUACUGACACUCAAGUGCGAAAGCGUGGGGAGCAAACAGG
rnacentral:rRNA from 1 species